rnacentral:rRNA from 1 species
UACGGGGGGAGCAAGCGUUGUUCGGAUUUACUGGGCGUAAAGGGCGCGUAGGCGGCCACCGCAAGUCAAUUGUGAAAUCUCCGGGCUUAACUCGGAAAGGUCAACUGAUACUGCGGGGCUAGAGUGCGGAAGGGGCAACUGAAAUUCUCGGUGUAGCGGUGAAAUGCGUAGAUAUCGAGAGGAACACCUGCGGCGAAGGCGGGUUGCUGGGCCGACACUGACGCUGAUGCGCGAAAGCCAGGGGAGCGAACGGG